rnacentral:tRNA from 1 species
GAGGGCAUAGCUCAGUGGUAGAGUGUGUGCUUAGCAUGCACAAAGUCCUGGGUUCAAUCCCCAGUUCUUCCA